GUAUUUCUUUUUAAUUCACCAGCUUUGCUUAAAUAUCUCUAUUUUGACCCGUUACAUCUCUACUCGCUAUAUUUUGACCAAAUUAACAUGUUUAACCAGUUUCUUUAUGGUAUCUAUAUUUUGACCCGUAACUAAACAAUACUCAAUGUUAAUCUACUUCACUUUAUCGUCAACUAAUAUCAUUACUAGCUUACCAAGGCAAGCUUAUCAAUCACUUUUAUAUUAAGAUUUUAAAAAAUUAUGUUUUGUUAUUAAGAAGAUUGGUUAAGCUAUGUAGACACAUCGCUUUAGUAGAUAACAACUAUUUCCCUGGUGGGUUUUGUUGGCUUGUGUUAAGGUAAGUGUUGUUAGAAGAAAAUAUAAUGAGCUUAUUAAAUUCAAGUGCUACAAUUACAUGUUUCUCAGUUUUAUUAGUGGCGGAACGGGUCGAAUGAGGUGAAUUGUACAUGUCGGGUUGGGCCCAAACGCCUUGCAUCCUGGAUUUGAAACUUUUUUAUGGAAAACAAAGACACUAUGGAUGCUCAGAAUCAAAGAAGAAUCCGGUGCUUUAUGUAUGCGCUAAAUUGUAAGCUUAGUUUCGUUUAAUAUUGUUUAUGUAAAUGCUAUACAUGUAAUUCGACACAUAUUUAAUAUGUUAACAUUAUAUACAGAUCCCUUUAGUAAUAUCUACUUUCUUUGUAUUUAUU
rnacentral:lncRNA from 1 species